rnacentral:rRNA from 1 species
UUCCGACCUCAGAUCGGACGAGAUUACCCGCUGAAUUUAAGCAUAUCAC